UACGUAGGGUCCAAGCGUUAUCCGGAAUCACUGGGCGUAAAGCGUGCGUAGGUGGAUGCUUAAGUGUGAUGUUAAAUCGUGUGGCUCAACCAUAUCGAUGUGUCGCAUACUGGGCAUCUAGAGGACAGCAGAGGCAAGUGGAACUGGUAGUGUAGCAGUGAAAUGCGUAGAUAUUACCAAGAACACCAAUGGCGAAGGCAGCUUGCUGGGCUACUCCUGACACUGAGGUACGAAAGCGUGGGGAGCGAACAGG
rnacentral:rRNA from 1 species